GGGGGAAAAUUUAAUUAAUUAAUAAUUAAUAAAAAAAUUUUUAAAGAAAUAUAUUAUAAUGGGGGUUAAAGUAUAUUUUAUAGAAAAAAUUUUUAAAUUUAUAGGGCAUUAGUAUUGUAAAAGAAUAUUGAAAUAUUUGAAAAUAAAUUUUUUUUAAAGUAAAUUUAAUUUAUUGUAUCUUGUGUAUCAGAGUUUAUUAAUAAUUUUUAUUAGUAAAAAUAAAUCUCGAAUUUAAAAGAGAUAAUUAAUUAUAAAAUUUAUUGUUUCAUAAAUAUUUUAAAUAAUUAAUUUGAAAUGAAAUGUUAGUCGUUUUUAAAUAUAUCUAGUUUUUUUAGAAAUAAAUUUAAUUUAGAAUUUUUAAAAUAAAAAAUUAAUUUUAAUAAUUUUUUAUUUUAAAAAUUUAAUAUUUUAGGGGAUAAUCUUUAAAUUAAAUUAUUAUAAUUAUUAGGGUAAUUAAAUAAAAAUUUUUAAAAUUUAUAUUGUUUAAAAAUUUUAUUUUUUUAUAAAAAAUUUUAAACUUAAUAAAAUUUUUAAUUAAUAUUUAAUUUUUUAUAAAAAAGUAUUUUUUAAUGGGGGAAAAUUAGCUAUAAUGAUAAAAUUAGUAUAAUUAUUAAAAUAAUUAAAAUAAAAAUUUUAAAAUUAAUUUUUAUUUUAAUUAUUUUUAAUUAAUAUUUUAUUUAUUAUAAAUAAAUUUUAUAAUUAAAUAAAAGGAAUUCGGCAAAAAUUUAUGUUCACUUGUUUAUCAAAAACAUGUCUUUUAGGUUAUAAUUUAAAGUCUAAUCUGCCCACUGAUAAAAUUUAUUAAAGGGCUGCAGUAUAUUGACUGUACAAAGGUAGCAUAAUUAAUAGUCUUUUAAUUGGAGACUUGUAUGAAAGAUUUGAUGAAAUAUAAACUGUCUCUUAUUUAUAAUUAAAAUUUAAUUUUUUAGUUAAAAAGCUAAAAUGAUUUUAAAAGACGAGAAGACCCUAUAGAGUUUAAUAUUUAAUAUAAUUAUCAUUAUUUAUUUAUAAAAUUUUAUAAAAAAUUAUUUUAAUUAUUUUAUUGGGGUGAUAGAAAAAUUUAAUAAACUUUUUUAAAAUUUAGACAUUUUUUAAUGAAUAAUGGAUCCAUAAUUUAUGAUAAAAAGAAAAAAUUACCUUAGGGAUAACAGCGUAAUUUUUUUUUUUAGUUCACAUAAGAAAGAAAGUUUGCGACCUCGAUGUUGGAUUAAGAUAAAAUUUAAAUGUAGAAGUUUAAAAAUUUUGAUCUGUUCGAUCAUUAAAAUCUUACAUGAUCUGAGUUCAAACCGGCGUGAGCCAGGUUGGUUUCUAUCUUUAAAAUAAUUAAAUAUUUUAGUACGAAAGGAUUAAAUAUUUAAAAUAAAUUUUAUAUAUUAGAAUAUUAGUAAAUUAAUUUGUGUAUAUAUAUAUAGUAUUAUG
rnacentral:rRNA from 1 species